GCCGGGCAUGGUGGCGUGUGCCUGUAAUCACAGCUACUUGUGAGGCUGAGACAGGAGAAUUGCUUGAACCUGGGAGGUGGAGGUUGCAGUGAGCUGAGAUCAUGCCAUUGCACUCUAGCAUGGGUGACAGAGCAAGACUCUGUCUCAA
rnacentral:SRP_RNA from 1 species